UCCGAUAUGGUCUAGUGGCUAGGAUACAUCGCUCUCAUCUCCAUUCGUUUGGAACAUGCGUCCCGAUGUGGCCCGGGUUCGAUUCCCGGUGUCGGAA